rnacentral:rRNA from 1 species
UCUAACGAGAGUUUGAUCCUGGCUCAGAAUCAACGCUGGCGGCGUGCCUCAGACAUGCAAGUCGAACGCGAAAGGCCCCUUCGGGGGCCGAGUAGAGUGGCGCACGGGUGAGUAACACGUAGGUAAUCUACCUCUGGGUGGGGAAUAACAGCCGGAAACGGCUGCUAAUACCGCAUAACGCAGCGGCACCACAUGGUGACAGUUGUUAAAGCGGGGGAACUUCGGUCCUCGCGCCUGGAGAGGAGCCUGCGGCGGAUUAGCUAGUUGGUGGGGUAAUGGCUCACCAAGGCAACGAUCCGUAGCCGGCCUGAGAGGGCGGUCGGCCACACUGGCACUGACAUACGGGCCAGACUCCUACGGGAGGCAGCAGUCGGGAAUUUUGGGCAAUGGGCGAAAGCCUGACCCAGCAACGCCGCGUGGAGGAUGAAGUUUUUCGGAAUGUAAACUCCGUAAGAAUGGGAAGAAUAAGGGAGGGCCAACACCCCUUCCGAUGACGGUACCAUUCGUAAGCUCCGGCUAACUCCGUGCCAGCAGCCGCGGUAAUACGGGGGGAGCAAGCGUUGUUCGGAUUUACUGGGCGUAAAGGGCGCGUAGGCGGCGCAACAAGUCACUUGUGAAAUCUCCGG